CAUGAAUAAUGCAUGAGGCCGGGAGCCCGCCCCGCCGGCGCCAACCAGCCGGGUGGGUGCUACCACUUCAGUCAGGGGGAAGUGCCAGCCUAGGGGCUGCUUCGGCAAGGAAAGCUCUCUUUGGGCUUCGACGACCCCUCUGUCGUCAAGCGAAAAACACCUGCAAAAGAGAUUUUAUUUCGUUUUGCGGCAGCGGCUGUGAUCGGCUUUUAUCCCAAGAGACUGGGCAGUGCCAGCCGCGACGUCGCCUUCUCCUGCCGCCUGUGAUCCUGCCGGGCGCUCACUCGGGGCGGAGAGGGGAUCGCCCCGCCCCUUCGCCUCGCGCGCCGCUCAUUUGCAUUGACGCACGACCGCGCGCCACGGGCGGGGCGGGGGUGGAGCGCGAGCGCGGCGGCACGAGACGGGCCGGGUGUGAAGGCCCCGCCCAGCCCCGGCUGGCCCCGGCCCCGGGCGCGGGCGCGGGGCGCGGAGCGUGUCCGUGUGUCCUCUGGGAUCAGGGUCUGGGCUGCCCCAUUCCCUGUCCCGUGGGGCACUGCAGCGUCCAGAGCUCCGGGGAAACGUGGGCUCGUCACCCCUUCCUCGCCACACACCCAGGGCCUGCCAGCAGACCUUGUUUGUUGGGCGCCUGAGAGACCCACGGGAGCUCGGGCGGCACCCGUGCUGAGGUGUGGUGGCACGGGGUGGUGCCUUCUGAGGUAUUCCAGUACCAAAGGCAUCUGUCCAUGCCCACUAUCAGCUUCAUUCCUCCUGCCCUAUGGAUCUUUGGUCUGACCCAGGGUACCUCACCUAUUUGCAACACAGCAACUGCCUAAAUUUGCCUUUCCAGACCCUAGGGUAUUGUGAGAGGCUUGGAUUCCAUGUUCCCUGAUUGUUGAGAAGCGAGACCGCCUGAAGAGGAGAGCAUGCUGGCAGAGCCACGCCUCACCUGAGUGACCUGAAGAAGCUACAGAGUCGUGGAGCUGGGAUGAGUUCCUUAGAUUAGACAGCAAACAUUACAAAUGCCAAGCCAUACACAAUAUCAGUGUACAUAAUAUGUAAAUUGAAAAAAACCAGAUGUUGCAAAGCAAGCUGUCAGUAUGGUAGAACUAAAUAUACAUAAGUUAUGUUUUUUGCAGUUAUUAAUCAACCUGCUUCUGUAUUUUCAUUCCAACAAAUGUGCCAGACAUUGACUUCACCUGGGAGGCCUGUGGUAGAGCUGGGGCUGACAGCUCUCCUGGAUUUGUUGGUGCCUGAAAGACAAUGAUCAUCUUGUUUGGUGUUCUGCAUCAUGCAGUGAGUGUUAAAUUUUGUGUGGUGAGUUUAACCAGUAGUGCUAUAGAAUAGAAAGUAUAAGGACAAAUCACAUUAAAGUAUAUAAAAUAGCUGUAACUGUGUAAAGACAAAAUAAACUGUAAGGGUUACACACCAGCUCUGCUUGCUGCCAUUUGGGUAACAUGAAAGGGAUCAUCAAGGUAGUGGCUUCUGAGUUUUGCCUCUGAGUGGUUAUCAUCUCUUCUAGAAAUUGCCAUGCAAAGCUUAAGUUCUUUCCUUUUAUAAACCCAGGAGAAUAACAUCUUCUAUUGGCUAGUGUUAGCAACAGGAUAUUAUUAUAUGAGAAAGGAUUUUGGCCCGCUGUUCUCUUUUUUUUUUUUUUUUCUUGAACAAUAAAACUUUUAGUGGUUAUAAGAACUGAAUGGGAUUGUACUGAGAUGCUGUGCAGUUCAGAGUGGUCUGUGGGUUUAGCUCCUUUAAAAAGGUCUGUCUUCUUCUGUGGGGUAGGAUCCAUACUUUCUAAAUUAUCAGAUACCACUUAACAAGUGUUACAGUUUUUGUGAACACACAAUAGGUCAUGAAAAUUAGAUACAAUAUGUAGACUUGAUAUGUACACAGAGCUAUUUCAGCACUUCUCAUUUUGGAAAUGAACACGAACAGAAGAAUAUCAGGAGCCUAAUGUAUACAAGACAAAGUAGCUCUGACUAGUGGUAGAAUCUACUCUUUCCCUCCUAUUAGCUAGUUGGAAAAUCACCAUGCCUGUGAUUUUGAAUAUGGGCUGCAAUUAGAUGUACACAUAAGAAGUAUUUUUGCUUUCAUUUCAAUACUAAACACAGCUUUUUGAUGAUUUCUUUGCAUGUUACAGUUAAAAGUAAGCAUUACAGAUAGUACUGACUUCAAAAAACCUUUUGUGAAUUGGCUCAGCAUAGUGGAGACUCAUUACCUGCUUGUAAUGUAACAAGUUGUUCUUUCCACAGUCCACAAUAUUUAUAGGUCUUUCACCAUUUGCAGUGAUUUACUAUUUCAUUUGACCUCUUUUCCAAAGAUGUAUAGCCACAAAAAAACAAAAAACAAAAACAGAAACAACAAACAAACAAACAAAAAAACCCAACAACAACAAAAAAAAGAAAUCUGUUUCUUGUUUUCUCUUGCUGUUUUACCACUCCUUCUUGUUUUGCAUAUUGACUCCUUUUCCUAGGGUCUUUGUUAACCCUCUCUGUUUAGGUAGCUGUGUCUGUCCUGUUGUGCUUGCAAGGGUUCUGCUAAAGAUCUGCUCAGUCUUCUGUGGGAUCAGGCUUUUUAGGGAAGCACACAGUCUGCUGUCCUGUGGUCUGUGACAUUUGUCUGCUUUGGUGCUCAGCCUAAACUGUGACAUGGGGUUGCACAUGCAUUCCAGGAGCAGCACAUUGUUCUAGCUGGUAACAAAACACACGAUUCACAUACUUCUGCUGGAGCUGCUUCCUCUUAACCCUAAAGUUGAUUUUUUGUUAAUGACAUUUUCCUCCCAUGGAAACAUGGUGAACAGUCUGGGAUUGCAGAUUAUUCAUCUAGAAAAGCAGAUUAUGAGGUUUGACAUGUUGCAGGAAAAAGAGGUCUGAAGAUUUAUAUCAAUGUGCUUCAUUCACUGUUUUUUGUUCUUGAUUUUUUUAAACUCUGAAAAUAAUAGUCAUGGACCCUUAGGAAGGAUGUAGGUAAGUCUUUUUUUCAGCAGUGAGCAGCCUGUUGAUUUACAGUAGCUUAUCUUUUCUCCUGGUGGUUUUUCUCAUUAAAAGAAAAAUACUAAUUACCCAGAUAUAACAAGACUGGGUAAAAAACCCUUUCUUAGAUCAUUGUGUGUUGAAAUGAAAUUUAAAGCAGUGGGAAAAAUUAACACCAGCAAUUGAAAUAAUUUGCUUUGUUCCCAUAUUCCCACCCCCAUGUUAUGUUUUUGUUUGUUUUUAAGGUUAAAAAUCUUAAAAUUCACAGGAGAUGGUCAGCUUUCUUGCUUUAUUCAAAGCCCAACUUCCAUCAUGAAAGUGUUCUAAACUUGAAGGAUACAGGUUCUGGUCACAAGAAUGCAAAGCAGUGAUCUACUCUUUUUUUAAUUCUUUGUGCCCUGGAGUUUAACCUGCACAGUAGACUAAUAUUCUCUUGCUUGCUAGUGGCAGUUUCUGUUUCUUUUUUGUUUUGUUUUGGUUUUUUUUUUUUUUGGUAGUGGAAGUCAUUAGACUUUCUCCCAAGAGAAUCACUGCCAAAGUAAACAAACAUCUUCAUGAAAGGAAAAUAAUAUAUAGAGCAUUCAGAAUUCCAUGUUUUACAGAGGAAUAUUUAUGGCAACCACUAGUGAAUUAAAGUGAACAAAAUCCUAUUUCUAGUUUGCUACUUUUUCUGUGCUAAUUGAAUGUGGCAAUUUCUGCUAGCUUCUCAGCUAUUCAGUGCAAGUACUGGAUGCUAGUUAUAAUUUAGGAUGAAGGAAAAUAAGAUGAAACUCAGUUUAGAAGAAGGGUUUUCUUUUUUUAUUUAUUGUUGGGAUUUGAAUAGUGCAUGUAAACCUCCAAGGAAUCGCUGUUGUCUCUAAAAUGUUCUGCAUGUGGUUGGCAAGAACAACAAGGACAGAGGAAAGUUCAGCUAAAAAAUUCAUAAAGGCUGUCUGGUGGAAUGCAUUAUAGUCAUCUGUAUACCUCUGUGCUCCUAUCCCUCUGAACUGAUAAUUUUUAGCUGAGAUAAAACGUUCUGAGGAACAGGAGGCUGGCAGAUUUGCAGCAUAGAUUGUUUGAAGGUUUAAAUACUGUGACUAUCUCAUCUUACUGUAAGUCUGUAGAUAUAAUGUAAGCUGGAGUUGCUGAAAAGUGAUAGAAUGGCUCAUGUGAACAGCCAAAAAAACCUGUGAAGAGCUUAUUUUGUGUAUGCUGCAGAAUUCUGCUCUCAUUCCACCUCCUCUACAGGACAGCAGUAAUUCUACAGUGAAGCAGAGACACUUCAAAUUUGUUGACGAUGAGACCAUAUCUAGUUCUUUGUUUAGGCAGUGGCUUUCACAAAGGGGACCAGUGCUAACUGCGAACUGCUGCCAGCACCGUCAUAUGUUUCUUGACAAAUGCAAAGUGUUCAAAAAGUUGGCACUACAAAAUAGAGAUACUGUCAAUCUUUGUUUAAUUCUCAGAAUGGCUUUUAAGCUUUUAAAGCUUGUGUUGUUGCUGAUACACUUGCAUAUCAGAUAACAUUUUUGACAAUCCUUAUAAUAUGUCUGGUUAAUUUGAUCACAUUACUGAAACGUAAACCAAAAUUCUGAGAGUGCUAAGAUGUUACUGCUGGUUUUUCCUAUGUGCUCUGAGCAGAAGAAGGGUUUGUGCAGCAGUGUGUGCUGCUAUAGCCAGAAUACAGCAUUUUCUCAUCUUUUCUAUGCACUGUGCAGAUGCAGCUGCUGCUGUUUGCCAAACAUGAAGGUGUUGUUCACAGCUCUGUGAGUAAGUUUGGGUUCUGCCUUACAGAAUGCAUGAGACAUCUCUACUAAUUGCACAAGUGUUCAGGCUAUAUUUAUGUACCUGAAUAUUGUGGUGUAGGAGGCAAAAUGAAAUUUUAAGGGAUUAUUUUGAUAAUCAUUGGCUAGGUCUCCAGAAGCUCAUGGAACAGAAUUGUGCUGGGAAUAACUGCAUGGUGCUUCCAGUGAUAGAAUAAUCUGUUCUGAAGGGUGGAAUGCUCGAGUGUGACUGUAUGUAGGAGAUGAAGUAGGAGACCGAAGGAAACACUGGAAAAUUUUGGAAGAGGCUGUGAAGUAGCAUUCAUUGAGUCCUGUAGGUAGCCCUGAUCACAGAUGCAGCCGGAGGAGCCAAGUGUGUGUCUGAAGCUAGGCCUGCCCCUCUGGAAGAGUGUACAGAUCAUGUAGCAACUUAAACAGAAGGAGUAUAUGUUUGUACCUCAGCAGGCUAUUAAAGAAGUGCUUUCAAUUGCUACAAGAAAAUUUAUUAAAGUUUACUCAUUAAACUCGAAAAGGUAGUAGAGGAACAGGUUCCCCUUCUGAGCCAUAGCAUCUCUGUUGUACAAAAACCAAAGUCAACCUAUCUGAUUUAUAUAUGAAAAUACAUUCUCUUGUACUUGACCUUAUUUUCUCUUUGAGUGUAAGAUGGAUGCUCACUAAUUUUACACCACCACCCACUGUUUCAGUAAAAUUAUUUUUAACAGAUUCUGCAAGAAAUUUGCUGCUUUAAUUAAUAUGGAAUUAUCUCAGAAAUUACCAGUGCAGACUCUUCAAAUUUACCAUAGAACAAAAUUUAAUCAGUCUAGAGCUGAAGAAGGACAGAUUAAAAUUAAAAGAUACAUUAACUGUAUAAUUGUGAGUAAUUAUGGUGAUAUAUCCAGUAGUCAAGGUGGGCCUCAAGCUCUGGGGCGGCCCCUGGGGUAUCAGUUUAGCAGCCAGCCUGCUGGAGGGUAGGGUGCUCUC